rnacentral:rRNA from 1 species
UAAAAAGUUUGGCCUGCCCAAUGAAAUUUUUAAUGGCUGCAGUAUUUUAACUGUACAAAGGUAGCAUAAUCAUUAGUUUUUUAAUUGAAAGCUGGAAUGAAAGGUUUGAUGAGAAAAAGAUUGUCUCAAUUUUAAAUAUAGAAUUUUAUAUUUAAGUUAAAAAGCUUAAAUUUAUUAAAAAGACGAGAAGACCCUAUAGAGUUUAAUAUUAAUUGAAUAAUUAUAUAUUUAGAUAAUUGAAUGUUUAAUAGAUUUAAUAUUUUAUUGGGGUGAUAGAAAAAUUUAAUAAACUUUUUUUAAAUAAAUUCAUUAAUUUAUGUUUAUUUGAUCCAAAUUUUUUGAUUAUAAGAAUAAAUUACCUUAGGGAUAACAGCGUAAUUUUUUUUUAGAGUUCAUAUUAAAAAAAAAGAUUGCGACCUCGAUGUUGGAUUAAAAUUAAAUUUUGGUGUAGAAGCUAAAUAUUUUAAGUCUGUUCGACUUUUAAAAUUUUACA